rnacentral:lncRNA from 1 species
AUACAAGAAGACUCUGAGGGGUGAAGAUAAGAAAUAUGCUUCUGCAGUUAUGUUAAACUGACACCCUGUUUCAAGAUUCACCUUGCAGUAUCUUGCUCUGUACAUAUUUGUCUAACGUUCUUUUGCUUUGCCUAAACAAUGCAUUUAGGAAGUGUCCCAUUAUCAGAUAGCUCAGUGUAUGUGUUUUACCACCAACCAAUCCCACCACUUUGUACCCCUCUCCCUGAUCAUCUUGAGCUAAGGACAAGCGAAUUUCAAAAGCACCCAAGUGGUAGUGCCGUCAUGGCAAGAUGAGCAUCGUCACAUGACCAAAUCUCUGGUCUAUUCUAAGCUUAUAAGCUCCAGAAUUUAAGUCCAAAGAAAGUUCAAAAAAGUCCCAGAGCAAUGACUUCUCCCUCCAGUUCCUACCCAUAACAUUUGUUGAGCAUCAACUGUGCAUCAGCAUUCUUCUAAGUGCUUUAAACAGAUUAACACUUCUCAUUCUCACCCCAUGAAUUAGAUUCACUUUUUAUUUGGGAAAUUGAGGCAUGGAAUGGUUGCAUAACUCGCUCAAAGUCAUAAAGUAAGUGAAAGAACCAGGAUCUAGAUCUUAGUAAUCCAACCUCCAUAUUUCUCUGGCUUUGGAGACCAAAAUGCUUAAAAUAGUGUUUUUCAAGGUUGGUCCAAGGUAUUUGCUUCAGGAUCAUGAGGCAGAGGUAGCAUUUGUUGUUAUAAAGGUGACUCCCUCCACUCCAGCAUUAUCAAAUCCAAAGUCUAUGGAUAGGAAUCCAUAUUUUCAACAAAUACCUCAGGUGAUUUUGCGCGCAUCAAAGCUGGAAACUGAUUGAUUUAAGCAGACCAUGCUUCAGCUCCUACAAGAAGAACCCACUGAUUUCUGAAAGGAAACAGGUCACAUGCAGAUAAUCCCAUAAACCUGUUUGAUGUGACACUGUGUUUGCUGCAAAUGGAGGCUGAGAUAACAGCUACAGUUACCAGAAUAAGGUCCAAAUGAGGGCUUCUCACCAUAAGGAACUCCACUGACAUGAAUUCAGACAACAGCAAUACAUGGAAGUUGUACUUGCAAAGAUUCAUUAUACACGUGGCAUUCCUAAAGAGAGAAAAGUAAGAGGCAGAGAUCCUGAAAGCUGAGGCCAACGGGUACCUGCAUGUAUUUCUGCAGAUUGAUUCCAACGGGAUGGACGUUCAUCAAUUGCCUGAGGAAGAAUUGAUUUUUCAGUUUAGUCCUUAUCAUUCACAGAGGAAAGAAUAUGAAGAUUUUUGCCUUUAGAAGAUGAAAGAUCAUGAAGAGAAUGUGAAAUGAAUGGAUGCUCAUUUUUAAUAUGAUACCCUUUCUGAAAAAUCAAUAUGGCUAAAAUAUAUUUGCAGUAAUUUUAGGGGGUGUCUUCUUUUAUAUCUAGCAAAUCUAAAUCAGAGAGAAAAUAUUUGUUAACUUUAUUUAAAUUGAAAAACAAAAAACCAAUAAAGUUCUCUCCAAGAGAGAAAAACGUGAAGC